GGCAACAACACAAUACUAUAAAUUUAUCACAAACACACAGCCCAGACCCACGGAGCAACAACCCUUUUUAAAUCUAUCUAUCUAUAUAGUAAUCCCCUUCCCCACACGUUUGAUCUCACCCACGGUUAGGCAUUCACAUCUAGUAAUGGCUUACUGCUGCAAGUUCAACAUCACAUCCACCAAGGAAGAAAAGGGAGCAACAGAGUGUAACAUGGUUCACCAUGCUAGCACAUGGCGUCUGCUCUGUAGCACAGCCAAGAAGGAACAGAGAGGAAUGGAGAUAGGGGGAAGUGGUUAUCUCUCUCCUGACUUGUAAAGGUAUUGAAUUACCCAAUUACCAUAUCAAAGGGUAAAGCUUAUCCCCCUGUAAGAAAGGCAUACAUGAGCUUGGUCACAUGACCCCUGGUCACCAUAUUAGUUUGAUGAGAGAAUGUCACCACAAUAGGGAGAUAUGUUCAGUAGAUAAUAUGAAAUCAAAGAGAUUAAUUUUGUUUUCUUCAUGCUGAUUAAUGUCUUUUAUUUCCUGUAACUGAACUAUUCUAGUUUGUACCCCAUCUCCUUCUGUCCCUUAGACAGUCUCUUUGUGAAUGCAGGUAAGUGUACAGUUCAGCAAUGCAAGAGAGGGGUAACUGGCAGACAGAGAGCAAGCGGUACUGAAAGGAAAGUGUGACGAAGUGCCCUUCGCCACUUGUACCUGGAGAGGACUGCUUGCCCGCCUCUUGCCCUGUGACUAUGGCCCCUGGGAUGUAUUGCCCUUUAAAGACAUGAUUUGGGCAUAAUGGAUUUGUGUUGUGCUGCUGCUGGCCCUUUAGGAACCAUCUGGGGACAUACUGUGGAGUUACUGGAUGGCCACCAUUUCCUGUAUCAGAAGCACAUGGUGAGAACAAUGGAUGGAGGCCAUUUUAACUCACAGACACUGUUUGGACUUUUCAACACGGUGCCAUCUUGCCAGUAUUUGGUGCACAGAGACAUCGUGCAGUGGUUUUGGACCAUACAGCAGGGGACACAUUAUAAAGUGAUUGUUUUUCAUUUAGCCUGUAUAUGUUCUGCAGAAUCUGCAUUAAACUGUAUUUUCCAAAGUACUGAACGGAUCUGGGUGAAUUUUGGAUAUGUGGUUCACCC